rnacentral:rRNA from 1 species
GACGAACGCUGGCGGCGUGCUUAACACAUGCAAGUCGAACGGUAAGGCCCUGCUUUUGUUUUGUGCUCGAGUGGCGAACGGGUAAGUAACACGUGAUUUACCUUCCCUUGACUUUUGGAUAACUUCAGUUAACUUUGGCUCAUCCCGGUUAGUAGCUCCUGCUUCUUGGUUGUGUUUGGAUAGUUUCGGAGGUUGGUGAUGGACUCUCGGCUUAUCUGCUUGUUGGUGUGGUAGUUUCUUACCAAGGGUUUGACGGGUAGCCGGCCUGAGGGGGUGACCGGCAAAAUGGGGAGUGAGAUACGGCACAGAGUACUAAGGGAGGCAGCAGUGGGGAAGAUUGAACAAUGGGGGGAAGCCGGAUGCAGGAACGCCGCGGGAGGGAUGACGGUCUGCGGGUAGAAAAGAGGUUACGCCUGUGACGAAGCGUGAGUGACGGUAAUGGAGAAAGAAGCACCGGCUAACUACGUG